AGAUUUUUUAUUUGAAGGUCUGAGUGUACAACUGGGAUAAUGUCACGUUUUUCAUAUGUAUCUGGUGCGACAACCGAAUCAUCUGCAUCAUAAUAUGUAGGUAUCAGGUGUUCCUCUGUGCUCCCGGUACAGUCGUCUGGCUGAGUGCAGUGGG